GAAUUUCUCUGGAACCCUUUCAGUCCGGCACAAACCACUCCCCUAACCCGGUCUGUCCUAUUUAAUUAACUAAAAUGACACCGUCUUGAGUUCGAUUCCUCUAAGUUAAUCUCAGCCUUUCAUUUUAAAUCAUCCAACGGGCAUAAAGAAUUUCCCCAUUUUUGCAUCAAACUGUCCGAAAAAAAGCCCUAAAACUAGCCUAAGACCUGUGCAUCGUCUUCUCCAUCACACUCUUCUCUCACCACCGUCUUCCGCCCUCCCAAAAUUGCCAUCGAUGGCAGUUGACCUCCAAAUUCCACUAGAUUUACACCAUAGCAUCCUCUUCGUCCCCUCAUACAAAAUCCACUACUCGUUUCCCUCAAAUCACCACAGAACUCCUUGAAUCUGAGAUCAAAGUUUGGACCUUCGAACCCUAAAUUCAUACCAGCUGACCCCUAAGCCCUCCCAAAUCCUAUCGUCACACUUAUUUCCCGACAAUCCCACCAAAAUUUCCCCAAUUCAAACUUUAAAAAAAUUCAAGCCCUUAUUUUCUCUCUUCUUCUGAUUCUGCGCAAGUCCGGGCUUGUGUUGACCGAUAAUCUACGCAAGUCGAUUGCUCUUAGCAAGAUCAAUCAAUUAGUAUUGGUUUUAGUUCAUGUCGAAGAUGCCGGAUUUUGGAGAAUUCAUCAUAUUCCGAUCAAAUAUUCACUCCCAUCGAUGUAUUUCAUAUUGUCAAGACAUCCUAGCCGUUUGGUAUUUCCCCUUCCUUUUUCUUAUUGAUUUCAUGCAUUGUGGUAUUUUCUGCUCUCAUUUAGUUAUUUUAUUUGUCUAUGUAUUUUGGCUUUUUUUCUGUAGUAGUCGAGUUCAUUUUAAGUUGAUAUUUAAAAUAAGUUCAAGCCUAAAAGCUGAUUUGUGUUAUAAAUAGACUUCUAUUUAAGGUGAAUGU
rnacentral:lncRNA from 1 species